rnacentral:rRNA from 1 species
AUCCUUUCGAAGGAAUCGUCUGCUGAAACCUUAGCGAGCCCUGUUCCGCAGGGCUGACCGUACGACUAUAAACAAAUCGGUCCCUUAGUUAAAAUGGUUAAGCCUUUUAACUAGGUUGCUGGUCAGCGUUGUCGCUGGCAACACCCUUAGUCUGCAGGAAUACUCUUAAGAGCAACCUGCAGCCAUGUUUUUCAGCGUGGCUCACAGACUAAAUAGCGGUGGAUACCGUCAAGAGAUGGCAUCUCAGAUAUAGUCGCGUUCCGUCAAACUUAUACCGGAACUGUGUUCCGUAGGUGAACCUGCGGAAGGAUCAUUA